GCGGGUGUAGUUUAGUGGUAAAACCUUUGCCUUCCAAGCAAAUGAUAGGGGUUCGAUUCCCCUCACCCGCU
rnacentral:tRNA from 1 species